rnacentral:rRNA from 1 species
GACGAACGCUGGCGGCGUGCCUAAUACAUGCAAGUAGAACGCUGACGCGAGGAGCUUGUUCUUCUAGGAUGAGUUGCGAACGGGUGAGUAACGCGUAGGUCACCUGCCUUGUUGCGGGGGAUAACUAUUGGAAACGAUAGCUAAUACCGCAUAACAAUGGCUGACACAGGUCAUUUAUUUGCAAGGGGCCAUUGUUCCAUUACAAGAUGGACCUGCGUUGGAUUAGCUAGUAGGUGAGGUAAUGGCCCACCUAGGCGUCGGGACAUAGCCGGCCGGGGAGGGUGGGCGGCCAAACUGGGACUGGGGCCAGGCCCAGGCGCCCUCGGGAGGCAGCAAGAGGGAAUCUUCGGCAAAGGGGGGAAAGCUGGCCGCGGAACGCCGCGGGGGUUGAAAAGGGUCUCGGGUCGGAAAGCUCUGUUGUAAGUGAAAAACGGGUGGGAGAGUGAAAAGUUGACACUGUGACGGUAGCUAACGAGAAAGCGACGGCUAACUACGUG